UUGAAUUGUUGCCUUGAUGCGUUGUCGCUGGCUCUAAAACAGAGCAUGUGCACACCUGUCUUGACUUCUAUUCAUCCACCUGUGCACCUUUUGUAGUCUUUUUGGGGGCUGGGGAAAUGGCAGCUUUAUUGCUGCUAGUGAACCUCCCACUGGGGACUAUGUUAUAUUCAUCUACCAUGUAGUAUGUUAUAGAAUGUUGUCAAUGGGCACUUGUGCCUAUAUAAAAAUUAUA
rnacentral:misc_RNA from 1 species